rnacentral:rRNA from 1 species
AUAAGAUUUUAAUUGAAUGCUAAAAGAAUGGAUAUACAAAAAAAUUCUUUUUUAAACUCAAAAAUUUAAAUUAUUUUUGUUUGUGAAGAAACAACANUAACNAUUAAGGACAAGAAGACCCUAAGAAUUUUUAAUUAAUGAUUACUAACUUAAAUAA